rnacentral:rRNA from 1 species
UACGGGGAGGUGCAAGCGUUGUCCGGAUUUAUUGGGUUUAAAGGGUGCGUAGGCGGCCCCUGUAAGUCAGUGGUGAAAAUACUGCAGCUUAACUGUAGCAUUGCCAUUGAUACUGUAGGGCUUGAGUACAGAUGAGGUAGGCGGAAUUGAUGGUGUAGCGGUGAAAUGCAUAGAUACCAUCAAGAACACCGAUUGCGAAGGCAGCUUACUAAGCUGU